CCUCGCGUAUCGGCCCGGUCUUAUAAGCCGUUGAAACCGUAGUGGUUCACGCUGGUUCGAAUCCAGCCGCGAGGACCA
rnacentral:tRNA from 1 species